rnacentral:rRNA from 1 species
UACGAAGGGUGCAAGCGUUAUUCGGAAUUACUGGGCGUAAAGGGUGCGUAGGCGGUUCGUUAAGUCUGUCGUGAAAUCCCCGGGCUCAACCUGGGAAUGGCGAUGGAUACUGGCGAGCUAGAGUGUGUCAGAGGAUGGUGGAAUUCCCGGUGUAGCGGUGAAAUGCGUAGAGAUCGGGAGGAACAUCAGUGGCGAAGGCGGCCAUCUGGGACAACACUGACGCUGAAGCACGAAAGCGUGGGGAGCGAACAGG